rnacentral:misc_RNA from 1 species
AUGCACGCAGAGAGAUUCUCAUAGACGAAUAUAUUUUAGUUCAAUAUUUCUCCUGUUAUACGAGUAGGCGAUAAAUCAUCGAUAUUUAACGAGCUUUCGUUUUGUGUACCAGAAUCCAGGGUUUAUUUCAUUUCUUCCUGUUGUCCAGUGUCGAGAUUUAUCUUGUACUUUAUCCACUAUAAUGAUGAAUGAAUUGAGUUAUUUUUGUGAAAUAUGUGCCAAGGUUUUCACUGGUCCUGUCCCAUACAAACAACAUUUGCAGAGUGAGAAGCAUGGUAAGAAACUCGAAAUGGUUCCUGACAGGCAAGCUUUAGUCAAAGAAGCUGCGUCGAAUGACUCACUAUUUCUCAAAACUGAAACUAAAAACGUCGAUCUUUCACAGUCCGAAAAAUGUCUUUGUGCUUUUCACACAAGUCAGAAUGACGAAAAAGAAUUAAAGGAGAAAUGUGUUGAGGUAAUUGCACAACUUUCCAAAACUGAAGGCUCUCCAAGCUCGUCUGCUCUAUCUCCUGAAGUCAUUGAAGAUUCUAAAAGCAAAGAAAAGGUUCUUGACAAAAAUAUUCAAUUGAGGCUAGAAGAUUUCAUCACUAAAGAAUUUCGAAACUGCUCUUUCGUUUGUAAGUACUGUUCAGUAAACUUCACGGGUCCAGAAUGCGCUAAACAGCAUUUCAAAAGUCCUAAACAUUUGAAAAGAAUACAAAUGCUAGCUUUUGCUGAAAAGUUUAAGAAAGCAUUUGCAACAGAUUCUAUUGAAGAAUCUGACAAUGAAGUCAGCGAGAGGAGGUCUGAUGUUGAAACAAAAGAAAAAACCCUCGAGUUGAUAGAACAGCCUGAAGGGGAUGAAAAUAACUCAGAGACACGAAAUGAAAUACCGAAAACAAUAAUAUCUCAAUCAAUAAAAGUGAAUGAUCUCAACCGUUGUACGAACGUAGAAAGUUCAACCUCAGAUUGUUUCGAAAAACAAAUCAAUAAAGUCAGUGUUCAUAGAUGCACCGGCAAAUAUUCUGGAGAUAUUAGAGCUGAGCUUAAAUGUGAAAUCUGUAACAUUUCAAGCUUCUGUGACAUCAAGGAGGCAUUCAGACAUUAUGAAAGUGAAGAGCAUGUAUCCAAAAAAAGAGCCUCCAUGCAUUAAGAAUUGUGUCUAAUGAAUGAUAAUUUAACGAGCAGCCACCUUCCCAUAUUUAGCUGCAGAUAGCGAAAGGCAAUGCAUAUGUGGAAUAGAGAACCCACUUCUUCUGGUAUCUCAAAACCCAUCAAACUUUGAAGAUGCUCUUAGGGCACCUUAGGGAGUGGCAUUGAGAGUCGACUUUUGGAUCUUUCUCUCCUACGGCACUUCCCGGGAACCCACAUAUCACAUGUUUUCGUUGAAUCAUGUCUCGAAGAUUCACCAAGAUUUGAUCACUUAACCAAUACCAGUCAUGACCACACCAAGCAUUGUCCAUUCAAUUUUCAUACGAGUUAACACACUUGAACAACGACACUGUCGACAACUAUAAGGAGCCAAACAACCUUAACAUGUCAAGGACUCAACUCUCUCCAAUCACUCAACCUUGGCAGACUACCAAGAGUAACCUCCUAAGGAUAUUGGCCACCUGGAGCCACUCAAUCUGGAUAAAACUGGACAAUAAUUUGUAAAAAUAGUAUUGCGUUUAAAAUCACUUUAGUAUAGAAUAUGUUUUGGAUAAUCAGUGACUGGGUUAGACUGAUUAACCAGCUUUAGAAGACCUAUGAUAAGGUAGUCCUUUUCAAUUGAUUGUGUUUUUUGUUGUUGUUGUUUUUCAAAUAUUAUCGAGUUAUUUGGCAAGUUUUAUAUCCCGUGAAACCUAACACGAACGAUUCUAAUUUCUAGCAUUCAAUAAUUAACCAGGAACUGUGACCGUGUUUCCUGUUUUUUAUAAAAAGGAAGUAGAUUUUUUUAAUCAUUAGCCCUUUCCGGAAGGGAGGGAAGUCCACAUGUCGCUAACAUCCGUAAAUUAUUUUUACUUCUCGAGGUGGAAAUACUUAACUGAAUUGCGUAAAACCUAGAACAAACUUAGUAAGCAGUAUUUAGUUUGGGCUUCAGUAAAGAAAUCAUAUGAUUUGUUUUGGUUAUCUUGUUAUUUUGUAUGAAAAACAUUAAAAUUAUUUCCUUUCGUUUUAUAAUUUCAUAUUUUUAAUGUUAAUCACAAAGUUCCAUUUUAUUUCCAAUUAGUUUCAAGGUUAUUGGUAUUCCUUAAUAUGUAUCCUUUGAUACGUUAAUUUGUUGAUUUGAUUAGUCACCAUUUUCGGCUUAAAUCGUAAAACACUGUAAAAACUGACAAAAACUGAUGGUGUUGUUGUUUACAAACACAACGCAUCGGACCUAGCACGGCCAAGUGGUUAGGGAGCUUGACUCACAAUCUGAGGGUCGCGGGUUCGAAUCCCCGUUCCACCAAACAUGCUCGCCAUUUCAGCCGUGGGGGGGGGGGGGUUAUAACGUGACGGUCAAUCGCAUUAUUCGUUGGUAAAAGAGUAGCCCAAGAGUUGGCGGUGGGUGGUGAUGACAAGCUGCCUUCCCUCUAGUCUUACACUGCUAAAUUAAGGACGGCUAACGCAGAUAGCCCUCGUGUAGCUUUGCGCGAAGUUCAAACAAACAAACACAACGCAUCGAGCCCCGAAUUUUAAUGUUGUAAGUUCGUAAACUUACUGUUCAUCAUCUGACUUUUGGAAAUAGAGUCAAUUUCCAAGAUCUGCAAUUUGUUCUUAAGCCUGUACAGUUUUGACGUAGUUUUCAUGUAUACAAUAGUACCAAAAUAUAUAAUAAUAAACCUAGCUCUAGAAAUAUCAAAAACUUCUGACAAAUUUUAUUACAAUCCGAGAUUAGAAAUUUUGAAAGAUUUGUUCAACUUUGCACUGAAAAUAUGUUUCAUCUGUCAUAAACACACAAACGGAUUAUACAUGGGCAACCCUCUGUCAUCUGGAUUAAGCGAAAUGUUUCUCAACAAAAUAGAAAGACAAGCUAUUAACACAGGUCUACACCCUACCACGCACUGGUUUAGGUAAGUUGACGAUGUAUUUUGUAGAUUUGAAGACAACCACCACCAACAGUCAUUUCUACAACACGUAAACAACAUUCACUAACACCAAAUUCACUCAAUGCGAGAAUGAAAACCAGGUUUUGAAUUACAUGAACGUAACAGAAAUAAACUUCAACGGUUUUAAACACGAAUACCUUCCCUCCUCAAGUGUGGUAAUGAUAAUUAUAUAAUGUGGUACUCAACCCACUGAACUUGAAAAAAAAAUCAGCACGUGAAUUAGAAUCAAUAUCCGAUAUAUUUAAUAACAAAUGUCACUUCCUUAAACAUACUGUCACUAGAACUUUAGCCAACUACAAAAACAAACACAAUAACAGAAAAGGAAGAAACAAUCUCCAUGAAGGAUAUAAAGAUACGCAAACUCAAACACACUAAAAAGUCUUACCAUUUCAUAUAUAUAUAUUUAUAUUUUUAUUUAUAUUAACUAAACAGUACAGUUGUCGAAGAAACGUUUAUUCUGACAACUUCAACGAUAGAAGAAACUAUAAAGUAUAAACGUGAUCGAUGCGGCAGCACUUAUGUAGGCGAAACAGAUCGCAAUAUAUACAUUUGGAACAAAGAACAUAAAAUCCCCCCCUCAAUCAUACAUUUACGAGCACAGCACAACAAAUAAACAUCCAAAUAACAUUAACAACCAUAAAAUAUUAUGCAAUGAGAACAACAUUAAUAGAAGAAAAUAAACACUAGCACUUCGUGAAUCAAACCCUAAUUUAAAAUCAAAACACCUGUGCCACCUAUGUUUUUUUUAAACUAGAACAAAAUGGUCGCGCAAUAUUUCACACAAUAGACGACAGUUACCUGAUGAUGGGCACACAAGUGGUAGAAACGUAAUAAAGUUAUACCAAAAAAAAAAAAAAUAAUCCACUCAAAAACUGUACCUAUGGAUUGUUAUUUAAAUUACACAGUGGAUUUUCUCUCCUCACAACAAAUGUUUAAAUAUUAUUUUAAAUUGUCUCUGCACAAGUUCUAUUAAGCCAUUAUUUUUCUUUAGACGUUAAAACUGAAACUUCGUGUAUUAUUAUUCUGGAUAUCAUGUGACGAAAUUUGGUUAGUUAGUUAAAGAAAUACAUCACAGAAUAAUAUAAUUGUGAACAUAUCGACGUUUCUAAUUGAGAGAAAAGAAAUUGUAACUAGGCAACUUAAUUACAGGGUCAGUUCAUCAUAUUUGCGAUCCUCUUGCGAGUACCGAGCAAACCAUUUCGGCCAUUUUAACGACCCUCACCGCUUUUCGCCCGUGUACUACUCGUCUCACUCUAGUUAAAGAUCCAUAAUUCUUGUUCACCGAGGUUUGCAUAAUAAAUAUAGGUUAUUCGUGAAAUCGAAUAUGUUCAUAAUCAAAACAGAUACUGGAUAUAAUAAAUGGAGCAAAAUAAAGAAAGUUUUUAUUUCUUCUUUGUUUUGUUUUUCAAGAUGUACUACUUACAACUUCCUAGACUUUGAAUUAAUGAAAAAAAAUUUACUGGCUGG